UACAGAGGGGGCAAGCGUUAUUCGGAAUUAUUGGGCGUAAAGGGCGCGUAGGCGGCCUGGCAAGUGGAAGGUGAAAUCCCUCGGCUUAACCGAGGAACUGCCCUCCAAACUGCUAGGCUUGAGUCCGGGAGAGGUGAGUGGAAUUCCCAGUGUAGCGGUGAAAUGCGUAGAUAUUGGGAGGAACACCAGUGGCGAAGGCGGCUCACUGGACCGGAACUGACGCUGAUGCGCGAAAGCGUGGGGAGCAAACGGG
rnacentral:rRNA from 1 species